AUGCAAACUGUCUUUAUUGCAUGUGUCAUACUUGGUGUAGUUAGCGCCAUACUCACAGUAUUUCUGAUAAAAUGGUGCAGAGCCAAGACUAAAAAAGUUGGACCAAAGGAAGCUGAGGAAGGCAAGACUGGGUUUGUACAGAAUGAAGUGAAGAA